rnacentral:rRNA from 1 species
AGCAGUAGCCGCGGUAAAACGAAGGGUGCAAGCGUUAAUCGGAAUUACUGGGCGUAAAGCGUGCGUAGGCGGUGAGUUAAGUCUGCUGUGAAAUCCCCGGGCUCAACCUGGGAAUGGCAGUGGAUACUGGCUCGCUAGAGUGUGUCAGAGGAUGGUGGAAUUCCCGGUGUAGCGGUGAAAUGCGUAGAGAUCGGGAGGAACAUCAGUGGCGAAGGCGGCCAUCUGGGACAACACUGACGCUGAGGCACAAAAGCGUGGGGAGCAAACAGGAUUAGAUACCCCUGUAGUCCCUGUCUCUUAUAC